AACGAACGCUGGCGGCAUGCCUAACACAUGCAAGUCGAACGAGACCUUCGGGUCUAGUGGCGCACGGGUGCGUAACGCGUGGGAACCUGCCCUUAGGUUCGGAAUAACUCCCCGAAAGGGGUGCUAAUACCGGAUAAUGUCUUCGGACCAAAGAUUUAUCGACUUUGGAUGGGCCCGCGUUGGAUUAGCUAGUUGGUAGGGCAAAAGCCUACCAAGGCGACGAUCCAUAGCUGGUCUGAGAGGAUGAUCAGCCACACUGGGACUGAGACACGGCCCAGAAUCAUACGGGAGGCAGCAGUGGGGAAUAUUGGACAAUGGGCGGAAGGCUGAACGAGCAAGGCCGCGAGAGUGAUGAAGGCGGUAAGGUUGUAAAGCUCUUUUACCCGGGAUGAUAAUGACAGUACCGGGAGAAUAAGCACCGGCUAACUCCGUG
rnacentral:rRNA from 1 species